AGGCGCCCUGGAACUCCCCGCGCGUGUUGUGACCCAGAAUUCCCGGGGCUGUGGAAGAGACCAUAGACUCAACAGGAGGGGGAGUCCUGGGUAGCGCGCCGGUCUAAAUCGUUACUUGGCGGAAAGUUCCCAUGAGUCUUUGCCAGCGUCCCCCUCCUUUUGUGAGGAUUGGGAUAUUCCGACUCCUUAAGGGCCUGGCGCACAUAAGGUGUGACCUUUUCAUUCCCGUUGUUAUGGAGGUAGGCUCUCUAGGAAUCUGGGAGUAGUAGCUGGGGGGCAAGAGCAAAUAAAGAGCUCGAGCUUCUGUGGUCUCUGGGGAGAUGUUCCCGGGAAGCCUGUCUAGAGGGCGGAGGGCAGCUGUUGAGAUGGCGUGGCUCCCCGGCUCCUGCGCCCGCGUGGCUUUCGCGGCGGGCGCUGCGGCCCGGUAUUGGACAGCCUGGCAGGGCAGCGCGGGGCCGAAUCCGGCUGCCGUGGCUGAGGCUCAUGGAUCACUCUUUUGUGGUAGGGCCACAUCUGCCAGAGCCUGGAGUCUGCGAAGGCCGGGACCCGGUUCCCCGGCCCACAGUGGGGGUGUGCAAACCCGAGAGAACUGGUCGCUGAAACCUCUACAACUUAGUUGACCGUAACUGCCAGAGCCCUGCCCUGAAUUCCUGUCCUUACUCCCUCUUUAAGAUUGCGUACCCACUGCAGAGUGCUGAAGACGGGGUAGCCACGAGGUUGCAAAUUCGUGAAGAAUCAGCAUCAUGUUUGGCAGCUGAGUAUUGGAGCCAGGAGCCUGCCAUGAGGUUUUGAGAACAGAGUGCUGUUUUAGAGCUGGCAGCAGCAUCUCAGCCCAAGAGAAGGUUAUAUUCCCAGAGGAUGUCAGUCCCAAGGACCAGUAGCUGCCAUCAGUUUGGAUUCUGAAAACUAACUGGCAUCAACACUGGGUGUAGAAACAUGCUUGCCUUAUGUAUCAGAGGACAUGCUCAGCAGAUCCAAGAGAUAUAUUUGGCAACUUUUUCUAGAAAAGGCACAUUGGGUAUCAUUCAUUACAUUCUUGAGUUUUUUUGGGUUUUUUUUUUUUUUUUUGAGACAGUCUUGCUGUAUUGCCCAGGCUGGAGUGUGGUGGCACAAUCACAGCUCAUUGCAUCCUCAAUCACCCAGGCCUAAGCAAUCCUCCCACCUUGUAGCUGGGACUACAGCUCACAGCACACCUGGCUAAAAUUUUUUUUUUGUUGAGACGGAUUCUCUAUGUUGCCCAGGCUGGUCUCAGGCUCCUGGGCUCAGAUGGUCCUCCUGCCUCAGCUUCCAAAGGCACAGGCCAAGUUGUAGCUUUGUCCCUUGCCAUCAUGCCCAACAAGAGGUUCUAUACCUUUUAAUGAAUUGACUUUCAUAAAUUGGUUAUGUUGGUGGGCAAAGUUCUUUAAGCUGGAAAUUGUAAAUUCCUCCUGAAAUGUUUUUUCAUGCAGUUACCAUGAACUAAUACUACAAUAAAGGAUGGUCUUGGGUGUCAAUUCUUGAAAAUGUGUAUUUGAAGAAAAAGUAAAUUUCGCCUACUGUUGUCAGAUAUUAGCAGUCCAGAUAUUCGCUCUAGCUUGUAAACUUCCCUGUGGUCAGCCUAAGCUCUUAACCCCCUAUUCUACAGCUUUAGACUGAAGGCAAAAGCUCAAAGCAUUUAAGGCCUCCUCAAUUUCGGCCCCUGCUGCUCUGUGCUCUGUUCCUUGGUGUAGCUUUGUUCCAGCUCCUGCAGCAUUGCACCAUUCCUAACCACAACCUUAACAGCAUGUAGGGCCCCAUACUCUAGGCCCCAUCUUGCUGUCUUCCUGUGUUGGAAUCUUGCCUACCAAGGCCUGUCAAGAGGGUCCUCCCCCAUACUGUUUGCCCACAAGGUUCAAGAGUGAUUGGCUCCCAGUCUUCCUGGACUGAACUACUUGGAUCUAGGGGUUGCCUGUUAUUUAGAAGAGAUCCCUUAACUGGUAGGGCCCUUUCAGUAGGACAGUAUUUGGGUAAGGGGAGGGUAUAAGAUGAGAACCUUUGCUAAGUUAGGUUCCUUUGGGAGCCUCCAGUUUGUUUCUCCCUCUCCCCAGCCAUCUUGUUGGAUCUGCCAAGGGAUUGGACUCCUUCAUUGUCCUAGGUUUUUAAGGUUUUAAAGCCCACCUUCUGCAGUCGGUUUUCUGGAAUGUGUUGGUGGAUUACUUAAGAGUUAUGGGGAAAGAGUUCUUACGGCCUGUCUAGGUCAGUGAAGUCAUACUGGCAAGUGACAAGAAGGAAGCCAGGUUUGUCACUUACCCUGCAUGCUAAGGACAUCAGAGCCCACAUAGAAGUCUGGUAGUUUUUCAGCCAGCAGUGGGUAGGGAAGGUGGAUAGGGGAUUUCUGAACAGGACUUUAUGCCUGUAUGCAUGGGCACCAUGUCUGUCCUGAGCACUACCACAUGGCAUCGUAGGCUGCUCUGUCAAAGGAUAUAGCGAUAGCUGGUCCUAUGGGCAGAUGCCUAGAAUCAAGGUGGGCCUCAGAAAUAGGGCUGGGUCUCCAUAAGGAGGUAGGCCACGUUCAGUCCACCCCUAGCAUAGAUGGAACUGGGGUCUCGGGCAACCAGGAGUUACAGGAAUUUUGCUAAAGAUUCCCACCUUCCUUGAGUGGGGACACAUUCCUCUGGUUGGAGCUUGUUCCCCUAAAUGAAAAAUGUAAUGCAGUACAUGUAGGGGCCCUACUGUAUUCUUUUUCUGGGGGAAAGCUCUUGGUGUUCACAAUGGCUCAGGCUUACAGUACCUCCAGCCAUGUGCCCAUUUCCACAAGUCUUUGGGGAAGGCCAUGAGCUGAGCUGAGAGGGUUCUCUGGGGCCUGGGAUGACUUAAGAACCAAAUGGCAGAUAAUGGGAUAGGGGGCAGAUGCAGAGGACCAACGGGAAGUUUUAACACAAAUCCCCUUCCCCAGAUGAUAUGGUUUGCCUUUCUGUAGGUGGGUGGCCCAGGCCAAUUUUUGGCAAUAUCCUUAACCCACCUGAU
rnacentral:lncRNA from 1 species